rnacentral:rRNA from 1 species
UACGUAGGGUCCGAGCGUUGUCCGGAAUUAUUGGGCGUAAAGGGCUCGUAGGCGGUCCGUCGCGUCGGGAGUGAAAACUCGGGGCUUAACCCCCGAGCCUGCAGUGGAUACGGGCAGACUAGAGGUAGGUAGGGGAGAAUGGAAUUCCCGGUGUAGCGGUGAAAUGCGCAGAUAUCAGGAGGAACACCAGUGGCGAAGGCGGCACUCUGGGCCGGUACUGACGCUGAGGAGCGAAAGCGUGGGGAGCGAACAGG